rnacentral:sRNA from 1 species
GAUACCAGGGGCAAAAGGUCAUACUUUUCAUGCUUGUAUGAAAAAGUAUGACUUUGAGACCCGUAAAAACAUGAGAAAGUAGUCCGAUAGGACGGAUUUCGAAUGUUUUAGGAUUUCGGGAGCACGUAGUGCGGAGAAAUCCGUGGCAUC